UACGAAGGGGGCUAGCGUUGCUCGGAAUCACUGGGCGUAAAGCGCACGUAGGCGGACUCUUAAGUCGGUGGUGAAAUCCUGGAGCUCAACUCCAGAACUGCCUUCGAUACUGGGAGUCUCGAGUUCGGGAGAGGUGGGUGGAACUGCGAGUGUAGAGGUGAAAUUCGUAGAUAUUCGCAAGAACACCAGUGGCGAAGGCGGCUCACUGGCCCGGUACUGACGCUGAGGCGCGAAAGCGUGGGGAGCAAACAGG
rnacentral:rRNA from 1 species